rnacentral:rRNA from 1 species
UACGGAGGGGGGCUAGCGUUUGUUCGGAAUUACUGGGCGUAAAGCGCGCGUAGGCGGACCUGCAAGUCGGGGGGUGAAAGCCCGAGGCUCAACCUCGGAACUGCCUUCGAUACUGCGGGUCUCGAGUCCGGGGAGAGGUGAGUGGAAUUCCUAGUGUAGAGGUGAAAUUGUAGAUAUUCGCAAGAACACCAGUGGCGAAGGCGGCUCACUGGCCCGAUACU